rnacentral:hammerhead_ribozyme from 1 species
AUCCAGAUGACGAAUCCCAAACAGGAUGAAAUACACAUCCUGAAU